CUCUCGUCUCUGCACCCCUCCCUGCCCUGAUCAACAAUCUUGUGUGAAGGUUUCUAUCCCUAGGAUGCCCCCAGGAUCCCGCUCGGCUUCCAGAUGGGAGAAAGUCACAGGCUGUGCUCUCUGUUUAAGCACCAUGCAAGCUGGGCUGUUCCAUGGACUAUGCGGCUUCCCGAGCAAGAGCAGUCACCUCCACAGAAGGUCUGAGAAUCCUGGGGCUCCUACGCUUUCCACCAGAACUGGAGAGAUGUCGGCUGCCAACACUUGAAGCAGAAAGAGCCAGAAGACCUAGCUGCUGCCAAAGGGGCACCGAUUUCCUCACAUGUGAGUGUCCACCCCCCUGGUGUGGCUGCUCUUGACACCCGCCUUGCACUGGCCUUCCAU
rnacentral:lncRNA from 1 species